GCACAUCUGUUCACGGUGCUAGGCUACAUCACGUAGCAUGCCAGACGGACCCACCAAAGAUGCGCACACAUGGAACGCAGCCUUCUAUGAAAACACUGCGACCUCACUACAAAAGUACAGGCACACAGAAAACUGUGCUGCACUGAUGUCGGUGUUGGGACCUCAGCUGUAAGAGACCUCGCUUGGAGGAGGGAGAGGACAAGAUGUGACAUUACAUGGAUAACCUGUUGGACCUCAUCUUUCACGAGGUUUUUCAGGACCCGGCCCCAUAUGUGAAUGAGGUGCUGAAGAUCUCAAAACCUGAGGAUCUCUCUGCCUAGUAUGAGAAACCUGACAAGCAGGAAGUUAUAGCCAGCUAUGUGUCGAGUUUCAAUCAAGGGCAGGUCUGAACCCUGUAUAACUUCCCUGAGCAUCAGGGAACACUCUGCGUAUCUGUUGCACCGAGCAGGAGGGCAGGACCACCCUGAUUCUCCGGCCCAGAGGGCCUCAACACCAGCUCACAAAGCUUCUGUACGCCAAAUACCUGUAACGGCUGAGCAAAGUUCACAUUGUAUUUA